UUGAUGAUACAGCAGCAUUCGGGCUCCGUUCUCAGAUUUAUGUUCAAAACACGUAUAGUACAUACAAAGAUGAUUUAGGCUACUUAUGUAGUAAACGAAUAAGAACAGAGAUACUGAAUUUACAAUAUUCCUGAAGGAAGUUAUUUAUACACACUAUUUAAAUGUUUUUCUUCUUAUUUUAUGCUGGCUCCCCCCCAGACCCCACUUUGUGGGCGUAUACUGCGUAGUUGUUAAUAUUCCUGAAUCAAGUUAUUUAUACACAACCAUUCAAAUGUUUUUCUUCAUAUUUUAUGCUGGCUCCGCUUCUGCAUAUAGCGACUUCAAUUUGUUUGAUUUUAGACAUUAUAGUAGUUGUUGUCCUUAAUUUAAUUGCUUACAAGUUACAAUUGAGUCAUUUUAACAAAACCAUUCAACUGUUAGAAUUUGGAACGACGAUGGUUAACUUCACUUGGAUUUAACUCACGAAAUAAAUGGACGACAUGGCACAAUCUGAAACUAUUACCGACGGAAGAACAUAUUUUUGGAUAAUUAAAGAUUUUUACUCGUAUUAAGGAAGAACUAUUACAGAAAAAUUCUUCCCAGGGUUGAUGUUUGCUUCAAUAAUACUACUACUAUUACUUUAUUACAG
rnacentral:lncRNA from 1 species